GUGGCUGUUCAAUUGAAACUGCAGUGCUCUGGUGCACUGUGGUCCGGGACACCACGCAGAUGAAUUGUGGGGCUCACCGACAGAACCCAGAAAGCUAUUGGUCUCUCUGUGCGAUAGUUCCAGACAAU
ensembl:scaRNA small Cajal body-specific RNA 14